rnacentral:rRNA from 1 species
CGAACGGGUGAGUAACACGUGAGUAACCUGCCCUUAACUCUGGGAUAAGCCUGGGAAACUGGGUCUAAUACCGGAUAUGACUCCUCAUCGCAUGGUGGGGGGUGGAAAGCUUUUUUGUGGUUUUGGAUGGACUCGCGGCCUAUCAGCUUGUUGGUGAGGUAAUGGCUUACCAAGGCGACGACGGGUAGCCGGCCUGAGAGGGUGACCGGCCACACUGGGACUGAAACACGGCCCAAACUCCUACGGGAGGCAGCAGUGGGGAAUAUUGCACAAUGGGCGCAAGCCUGAUGCAGCGACGCCGCGUGAGGGAUGACGGCCUUCGGGUUGUAAACCUCUUUCAGUAGGGAAGAAGCGAAAGUGACGGUACCUGCAAAAAAAGCGCCGGCUAACUACGUGCCAGCAGCCGCGGUAAUACGUAGGGCGCAAGCGUUAUCCGGAAUUAUUGGGCGUAAAGAGCUCGUAGGCGGUUUGUCGCGUCUGCCGUGAAAGUCCGGGGCUCAACUCCGGAUCUGCGGUGGGUACGGGCAGACUAGAGUGAUGUAGGGGAGACUGGAAUUCCUGGUGUAGCGGUGAAAUGCGCAGAUAUCAGGAGGAACACCGAUGGCGAAGGCAGGUCUCUGGGCAUUAACUGACGCUGAGGAGCGAAAGCAUGGGGAGCGAACAGGAUUAGAUACCCUGGUAGUCCAUGCCGUAAACGUUGGGCACUAGGUGUGGGGGACAUUCCACGUUUUCCGCGCCGUAGCUAACGCAUUAAGUGCCCCGCCUGGGGAGUACGGCCGCAAGGCUAAACUCAAAGGAAUUGACGGGGGCCCGCACAAGCGGCGGAGCAUGCGGAUUAAUUCGAUGCAACGCGAAGAACCUUACCAAGGCUUGACAUGAACCGGU